UGGAGAAGAGCUCAUGACUGAACAAGUGAUUGAGGGGAUAAGACAAAAAGAAAUAGAGAAUUUUGAUUAUAUAAAAUGGACACUGAGGAGAAAAGAACACUGGACUGAGAUUCAGAAUGGAAUUCUUGUCUCGUCUCUAUCAUUUAGUCACUGUGAGACCUUGGACAAGUCACUUAUAUUGUUUGGGCCUUAAUGUCUUUAUCUAUAAACCACAGCUGUAGACACCAGCAAUUUCCAAGAUCCAUUUUAGGAUAGAGGACACGAAGCAGAGAAGGAGACAAUAAAUAUACAGAGACUGAGGAUUAGAGAGAGAGG